rnacentral:lncRNA from 1 species
AUCAAUUUAAGAAAAUGUUACGGAUUUGACUGAUGGCAGUGUCAAGAAUCCAGUUCAGUGAGUAAGCAAGCUUUUUACAUAUAAGAAAAAGAAAAUAGAAAAGAAGUAAAAAAACAUGAGAGAAUAUUCUAAAAGGAAAAAAACAUUACAUUAGUCAAAUUCAUCAAAAUGUCAAAUUUAAAAUAAAGAAGAAAAAUCCAAACAUUAAAUUUUAGGGAAAGGGAGCUUAGCGGGGAAAUAAGUAGAGAAAGGGAU